UCAACGACCCUGCUACUGCUUCGCGUCCCAAUCCUAAUUUCCAAACCUGACUCUCUGCUUCGGAUGACCGUUGUCGGUCCCCGAGGUCGGGGUGUCUCCACCCUAUAAAUACCCGUCGUCUCCUCUCCUCUCCUCUCGUUCUUUGUAUCCUUCUGGUUCUGCUCGCGUUUUUCUUCUUUUCUCUCUCGCCCACAGCGUCUCUGCGAGAAAAAGAAGGAAGUAGCGGUCGCGAUUUAAGCGUUCUUCAUGGGAAACCCCCCGCCCUUGCUUACGAGCUUGGCCUCUUUGGGAGAGGACGAUGUAUCGGAAUUAUUUGGUCUUCGAUCGAUCUACCGUUAUUGGUUUCACCAGCAUAUUCUGGAUUUUUGUUCUUCGGCGAAUCCGCAGUGCCUUCUUUCCUCUCGGAUCAUAUAUCUUGACGGUUGAGGAUGGUCGUUAUGGGAGUUGUUUCGUUUAGCUCCUCCUCCGAUCCUCUUUAUUGAUCCAUCGACCGAUGGAUGUUUCCGUUUACUUGUUUACGAGCUGCUUCUGGGUUUUUGUUAUUUGGUGAAUUCGCAGUGGCCUUCUUUUUCCCCCUGGAGCGAAUGGACGGUGACACUGGUCAGUUCGUUUCGUGAUCCCUUUUGCCCUUCUUUUUUUUGGGUUGAGAUGAUGAAAUUAGUAGUCUUUUGAUCACAUCUUUGACUGGGCGACAGACUGAGAUUUUCUGGGUUUAGAUUGGAAUUUGUUCUUCGGUCUUUUUUAUCUUUGGGAGUUGAUUAGCGUCCAGGCCUAAUUCUCUCACGGGUUGGAGUUGGUUGUCGGUUUGAAUGAUAUUUGUUAUAUCCAGUCUCAUAAUUUUCCGGUUAAUGCGAAAACCGAUUUUCAUCUCUUCA